rnacentral:rRNA from 1 species
UACGUAGGGGGCAAGCGUUGUCCGGAUUCAUUGGGCGUAAAGAGCGUGUAGGCGGCCAGGUAGGUCGGUUGUGAAAACUGGAGGCUCAACCUUCAGAGGUCGACCGAAACCAUCUGGCUAGAGUCCGGGAGAGGAGAGUGGAAUUCCUGGUGUAGCGGUGAAAUGCGCAGAUAUCAGGAAGAACACCCGUGGCGAAAGCGGCCCUCUGGAACGGUACUGACGCUGAGACGCGAAGGCGUGGGGAGCGAACAGG